CAAGGAGAGAUGGGAGAGGGCGGGUGUGCGUGUGGCUGCAAUUCUGCACAUUGGACCAGGCCAGGAGAAGGGAGAGUCCCGAAAUGCAGGAUGAGGUAGGGCGAGAAGACAGUCGGACAGCUCCCCUUAUCUCCCGGCUGACAACCGUGCUCCCGCAAGCCGUACCACCUCAAACUGGCCUAGGGCCCUACCUCUGUCCCCCGCCCCCCAACGCGCCCGGAGAGGUGCGGGUAGAGCAGGCCGGCUUGCGCAUGCGCGCCGCUGCGGUCAAACACUGAACAGAGCCCAUGGCCUCUCCUUUUAUCUCCUGUUGUGCCUCGGGCUAAAUCCACAGCAGCUUCAGAAGUCCGUAGGCGGCGGGACGCGGUGGAGAGUUCUACAGUCUCUGCCAGUAACUCUGGAACUUGGGUACCACCUGAAACAAACAAAAUGUGGUAAACAUUAACAAACUG